UACGUAGGGGGCAAGCGUUAUCCGGAUUUACUGGGUGUAAAGGGAGCGUAGGCGGUGAUGCAAGUCAGAAGUGAGAGCCCGCAGCUCAACUGCGGGACUGCUUUUGAAACUGUAUGACUAGAUUGCAGGAGAGGUAAGUGGAAUUCCUAGUGUAGCGGUGAAAUGCGUAGAUAUUAGGAGGAACACCAGUGGCGAAGGCGGCUUACUGGACUGUAAAUGACGCUGAGGCUCGAAAGCGUGGGGAGCAAACAGG
rnacentral:rRNA from 1 species